CCUACGGGAGGCAGCAGUGGGGGAUAUUGCACAAUGGGGGAAACCCUGAUGCAGCGACGCCGCGUGAGUGAAGAAGUAUUUCGGUAUGUAAAGCUCUACCAGCAGGGAAGAAGCAGACGGUACCUGACUAAGAAGCCCCGGCUAACUACGUGCCAGCAGCCGCGGUAAU
rnacentral:rRNA from 1 species